AUCUAUCUGACAAGUCCUAAAUAGGACUAAACGUGCGUUCUGAAU
rnacentral:hammerhead_ribozyme from 1 species